rnacentral:rRNA from 1 species
GAUCAUGGCUCAGAUUGAACGCUGGCGGCAGGCUUAACACAUGCAAGUCGAACGGUAACAUAAAGGAGCUUGCUUCUUUGAUGACGAGUGGCGGACGGGUGAGUAAUGCUUGGGAAUCUAGCUUAUGGAGGGGGAUAACUACGGGAAACUGUAGCUAAUACCGCGUAGAAUCGGGGGAUGAAAGUGUGGGACCUUCGGGCCACAUGCCAUAGGAUGAGCCCAAGUGGGAUUAGGUAGUUGGUG